rnacentral:rRNA from 1 species
AGUGAACGCUGGCGGUAGGCCUAACACAUGCAAGUCGAACGGCAGCACAGUAAGAGCUUGCUCUUACGGGUGGCGAGUGGCGGACGGGUGAGGAAUACAUCGGAAUCUACUUUUUCGUGGGGGAUAACGUAGGGAAACUUACGCUAAUACCGCAUACGACCUACGGGUGAAAGCAGUGGAUCUUCGGACCUUGCGCGAUUGAAUGAGCCGAUGUCGGAUUAGCUAGUUGGCGGGGUAAAGGCCCACCAAGGCGGCGAUCCGUAGCUGGUCUGAGAGGAUGGUCAGCCACACUGGAGCUGAGACACGGUCCAGACUACUACGGGAGGCAGCAGUGGGGAAUAUUGGACAAUGGGCGCAAGCCUGAUCCAGCCAUACCGCGUGGGUGAAGAAGGCCUUCGGGUUGUAAAGCCCUUUUGUUGGGAAAGAAAAGCAGCAGGUUAAUACCCCGCUGUUCUGACGGUACCCAAAGAAUAAGCACCGGCUAACUUCGUG